AGUGCAGCUGAACGGUAGAUUUGCUUCGGAGGUUGAGAGCGGCGUACGGGUCCUGCGCAUGUGUGCCCCAGCCCUUAUCCUUUGAUAUCCGCGAAAUUCGGAAUAUACUCAUAGUAUUUUUCCUGGCUUCUCCGGACAUUCCAAGAUUUAUCGGAUGGUGGUGGGCGCGCGCCACACUCGUUCGCUGGUAUGGUAACUCCCUACCAAGCCGAUGAUCUUUAGGGGGGCCUGAGAGGGUCCCCCUAGCGUUGGCCUGAGCCAGGAUCAAACUCUCUACGGGAGGCAGCAGUGAGGAAUAUUGGACAAUGGGUGAGAGCCUGAUCCAGCCAUCCCGCGUGAAGGACGACGGUUCUAUGGAUUGUAAACUUCUUUUAUAUAGGGAUAAACCUACUCUCGUGAGAGUAGCUGAAGGGUACUAUAUGAAUAAGCACCGGCUAACUCCGUGCCAGCAGCCGCGGUAAUACGGGAGGGUGCAAGCGUUAUCCGGAUUUAUUGGGUUUAAAGGGUCCGUAGGCGGGCUUGUAAGUCAGUGGGUGAAAUCCGGCAGCUCAACUGUCGAACUGCCAUUGAUACUGCAAGUCUUGAGUAAAUUAGAAGUGGGCUGGGAAUAAGUAGUGUAGCGGUGAAAUGCAUAGAUAUUACUUUAGAACACCAAUUGCGAAGGCAGGGUCACUAUGUUUUAACUGGACGCUGAUGGACGAAAAGCGUGGGGUAGCGGAACAGGAUUAGAUACCCUGGUAGUCCACGGCCGUAAACGAUGAUUACCCGUUUUUGGGGCUUUAUAGGUCCAGAGACUAAGCGAAAGGGAUAAGGUAAUCCACCUGGGGAGGACGUUCGCAGAUUGGAAUCUCAAAGGAAUUGACGGGGGGCCCCGGAACAAGCGGGUGAAGCAUGGUGGUGUAAUUUCGAUGAUUACGCCGAGGGAAACUCUUACCAAGGGCCUUAAAAUGGGAAUUGCGACAGCGCUUAAGAAAUUAAGCCUUUUUCUUCCGGAACAAUUUUUCCAAGGGUGUUGCGAAUGGGUGUCCGUCCAGCCUCCGUCCCGGAAGGGGGUUAGGGUUUAGGGUCCCGCGCAACGGAGCGCAACCUCCCGG
rnacentral:rRNA from 1 species